GCAAACAGGAUUAGAUACCCUGGUAGUCCACGCCCUAAACGAUGCACACUAGUUGUUGCUAUGCUAGACAUAGCAGUAAUGCAGUUAACACAGUAAGUGUGCCGCCUGGGGAGUACGGUCGCAAGAUUAAAACUCAAAGGAAUAGACGGGGACCCGCACAAGCGGUGGAGCAUGUGGUUUAAUUCGACGAUACGCGAAGAACCUUACCUGGCCUUGACAUAGUAAGAACUUUUUAGAGAUAAAUUGGUGCUAGUUUACUAGAGCUUACAUACAGGUGCUGCACGGCUGUCGUCAGCUCGUGUCGUGAGAUGUUGGGUUAAGUCCCGCAACGAGCGCAACCCUCGUGUUUAGUUACUAACAGUUCGGCUGAGGACUCUAGACAGACUGCCUGGGUAACCAGGAGGAAGGUGAGGACGACGUCAAGUCAUCAUGGCCCUUACGGCCAGGGCUACACACGUGCUACAAUGGGGUAUACAAAGAGCCGCGAUACUGUGAAGUGGAGCAAAUCUCAAAAAUAUCUCCCAGUUCGGAUAGCAGUCUGCAACUCGACUGCUUGAAGUUGGAAUCGCUAGUAAUCGUAGAUCAGCAAUGCUACGGUGAAUACGUUCCCGGGUCUUGUACUCACCGCCCGUCACACCAUGGGAGUUGAACUCAUUCGAAGCGGGGAUGCUAAAGUAGCUACCCUCCACAGUGGAUUCAGCGACUGGGGUGAAGUCGUAACAAGGUAACC
rnacentral:rRNA from 1 species